rnacentral:rRNA from 1 species
GCGGGAGGCAGCAGUGGGGAAUAUUGCACAAUGGGGGAAACCCUGAUGCAGCGACGCCGCGUGAGCGAAGAAGUACCUCGGUAUGUAAAGCUCUAUCAGCAGGGAAGAAAGUGACAGUACCUGACUAAGAAGCCCCGGCUAACUACGUGCCAGCAGCCGCGGUAAUACGUAGGGGGCAAGCGUUAUCCGGAUUCACUGGGCGUAAAGGGAGCGCAGGCGGCGCGGCAAGUCUGAUGUGAAAGCCCGGGGCUCAACCCCGGGUCUGCAUUGGAAACUGUCGAGCUAGAGUGUCGGAGGGGUAAGCGGAAUUCCUAGUGUAGCGGUGAAAUGCGUAGAUAUUAGGAGGAACACCAGUGGCGAAGGCGGCUUACUGGACGAUGACUGACGCUGAGGCUCGAAAGCGUGGGGAGCA